GAUGAACGCUGGCGGCGUGCCUAAUACAUGCAAGUCGAGCGAACGGACGAGAAGCUUGCUUCUCUGAUGUUAGCGGCGGACGGGUGAGUAACACGUGGAUAACCUACCUAUAAGACUGGGAUAACUUCGGGAAACCGGAGCUAAUACCGGCUAAUAUUUUGAACCGCAUGGUUCAAAAGUGAAAGACGGUCUUGCUGUCACUUAUAGAUGGAUCCGCGCUGCAUUAGCUAGUUGGUAAGGUAACGGCUUACCAAGGCAACGAUGCAUAGCCGACCUGAGAGGAUGAUCAGCCACACUGGAACUGAGACACGGUCCAGACUCCUACGGGAGGCAGCAGUAGGGAAUCUUCCGCAAUGGGCGAAAGCCUGACGGAGCAACGCCGCGUGAGUGAUGAAGGUCUUCGGAUCGUAAAACUCUGUUAUUAGGGAAGAACAUAUGUGUAAGUAACUGUGCACAUCUUGACGGUACCUAAUCAGAAAGCCACGGCUAACUACGUG
rnacentral:rRNA from 1 species